rnacentral:lncRNA from 1 species
AACAUAAUUAACAUAAACAUAAACAACGAAAAUGACGCUUCGAGGACAAGAAUUCGAGAAAUAAAGUUUACUUGGUCUUUUGUGAUGUUCCAAUUCCAUUUUUUUGAAAGUGACUCAUCAUGUUAUAGUGUGAUGUUUUCUGAAUGACUUUAUGUGAUAGUGUGAACGUUUUCUGACUGGCAGAAGGAUAUUCAGUUUUCUUUUUGCCCCACCUUGUCAG